CCUACGGGAGGCAGCAGUGGGGAAUAUUGCGCAAUGGGCGAAAGCCUGACGCAGCGACGCCGCGUGAGGGAUGAAGGUCUUCGGAUCGUAAACCUCUGUCAUCAGGGACGAACGGUCACUGUGCUAAUCAGCAGUGAAUUGCCGGUACCUGCAAAGGAAGCACCGGCUAACUCCGUGCCAGCAGCCGCGGUAAUACGGAGUGUGCGAGCGUUAAUCGGAAUUACUGGGCGUAAAGCGCUCGUAGGCGGUAUGUCAAGUCAAGGGUGAAAUCCCCGGGCUCAACGUGGGAACUGCCUUUGAAACUGGCAAACUUGAGUGUGUGAGAGGAUAGUGGAAUUCCAGGUGUAGGAGUGAAAUCCGUAGAUAUCUGGAGGAACAUCAGUGGCGAAGGCGACUAUCUGGCACAUAACUGACGCUGAGGAGCGAAAGCGUGGGUAGCAAACAGGAUUAGAUACCCUUGUAGUC
rnacentral:rRNA from 1 species